rnacentral:rRNA from 1 species
UACGAAGGGGGCUAGCGUUGUUCGGAAUUACUGGGCGUAAAGGGCGUGUAGGCGGUGCGGCAAGUUGGGAGUGAAAUCUCUGGGCUUAACCCAGAGGCUGCUUCCAAAACUGCCGUGCUAGAGUGCGAGAGAGGCCAGUGGAAUUGCAGGUGUAGCGGUGAAAUGCGUAGAUAUCUGGAGGAACACCCGUGGCGAAGGCGGCUGGCUGGAUCGCAACUGACGCUGAGGAACGAAAGCUAGGGGAGCAAACAGG